rnacentral:rRNA from 1 species
CCCAGAGUGGAAUGGCCGUCGCUCAACGGAUAAAAGGUACUCCGGGGAUAACAGGCUGAUCUUGCCCAAGAGUCCACAUCGACGGCAAGGUUUGGCACCUCGAUGUCGGCUCAUCGCAUCCUGGGGCCGAAGUCGGUCCCAAGGGUACGGCUGUUCGCCGUUUAAAGCGGUACGCGAGCUGGGUUCAGAACGUCGUGAGACAGUUCGGUCCCUAUCCUCCGCAGGCGCAAGAGGAUUGAGGAGGUCUGCCCCUAGUACGAGAGGACCGGGGUGGACGGACCUCUGGUGCAGCAGUUGUCGACCAACGGCACGGCUGCCUAGCUACGUCCGGCACGGAUAACCGCUGAAAGCAUCUAAGUGGGAAGCCGUCUCCGAGAUGAGUCCUCUCUUCGGUAAGGGCCCUCGCAGAACACGAGGUCGAUAGGGCGCAGGUGCAAGGCGGGCGACCGCCUCAGCCGAGCGCUACUAAUAGCCCGAGUUCUUCUCGCGC